UAGCAAGUGGCAGAGGAUAAAUUUGUUUUUGACUUGCCCAAUUAUGAAAAUAUCAACCAUGUUGUGGUUUUUAUGCUGGGAACAAUCCCAUUUCCUGAGGGGAUGGGAGGAUCUGUCUACUUUUCCAAUGGGGUGCCAGUGUGGCAGCUCCUAGGAUUUGUCACGAAUGGGAAGCCAAGUGCCAUCUUCAAAAUAUCAGGUCUUAAACCUAGAGAAGGAAGCCAGCACCCAUUUGGAGCCAUGAAUAUUGUGCGAACCCCAUCUGUUGCCCGGAUUGGAAUCUCGGUGGAAUCGUUGGACAGUCUGGCUCAGCAGACUCCUGUAGGCAGUGCUGCUGUGCCCUCGGUUGACUCCUUUAUGCAGUUCACACAGAAGAUGUUGGAAAACUUCUACAAUUUUGCUUCAUUGUUUCUUCUCUCUCAGGCCCAGAUGACACCAAACCCAUCGGAAGUGUUCAUCCCAGCAAACGCGGUUCUGAAAUGGUAUAAAAACUUUCAAAGACAACUAGCACAAAACCCUCUCUUUUGGAAAACAUAAUUUGAAUAAAA